ACAUUUUAAAUAGUUAUUUGUUAUACAAGAGCGCAAAGUUGCUUUUUAACCGUGGGCUCAAUUUUGAUGACCGAGCUAGCGAAGGAUUCUAAAAUUGAAACACGAGCUUAGUGAGUGUUUCAAUAAUUAGAAUCCUGAGCGAUAGCGAGGGAAUCAAAAGAGCACAAGGUGAAAAAUCUUUGCACUCGAGUGCAACACGUAACUUUUCAUCCCACCUCAUCAAGGAAAUGACUUUACUAAAUGCAAAAAAACAAAAUGGCGCGCACAUAUGAGUAUCAAAUUAAAAAGAACCUGGGCAGCUCCUUCGGCAGCACAAUACUGAGAAACUGCAGUUUUGGCACAAACGUCUCGAAAGGGAAUUGCUGGAAUCAAAAGUGUGAAAAGAGCGUCAAGUAGACCCAACAAUGAAUAUCAUUAAGGCAUCAUUGGUGCCCGGUGCUGUGUGUAUUUGAAAUAAGGUGGUCCAGCGGCCGGGCGGGAGGAGCAGCUUAGCCCUCUGUGGCUUCGGCAAUGAAACCAGCAUGGGAGCCAACCUGUCUGUCUUCGCCUGAAAAUAAAUACCUUUAAUUAACUUAUGUCCACCAAAUGUCACUGAUUAAUUUCCAUCACAUUAUUAUAAAGAGGAAAACUUUGUA
rnacentral:lncRNA from 1 species